rnacentral:rRNA from 1 species
UUAGCGCGGUGGUCCCACCUGCCCCCAUGCCGAACUCAGAAGUGAAACGCCGUCUCGCCGAUGGUAGUGUGGGGUCUCCCCAUGUGAGAGUAUGGAACUGCCAGGC